AAAGAACUUUGAAGAGAGAGUUCAAGAGUACGUGAAACCGUUCAGGGGUAAACCUGAGAAACCCGAAAAUUCGAUCGGGGAGAUUCAAUUACUUUUACCGGUGGUAAGCAGUAGGCAUUGUGACUUAUUUAAUUUGCAGUUUCGGCUGUAACAUUUUAUUUGCAUUUUUGUUUGCUGUAUUAUUUAUUGCCGGAGGUAUGCACUUCUCCCCUAGUAGGACGUCGCGACCCGUUGAGCAUUUGUAUGUAAAUGCCAUCUACGGCUUAUAAUGGUGACCAGGUAAGUUUGUGUAAAAACUCAUUUACCCGGACUUAUAGUGACCUGAUGGCUGCUUGACGGUAUCCGAACGGGUAAUGGGACGCUUUCGUUUUCGAACGGCGUGCGUUAUGGUCUAUGACAAGUAUCUAUAUGCCUGUGGAAAUCGGACUUUGUGCUGGUUCUGCACAUGUAAUACUGUUGGUUGUAUGAUCCUCUGACCGUCCCCGUUACCAGUCGGCGACGCUUCAGUUUUGGGUAAUCUCAGGACCCGUCUUGAAACACGGACCAAGGAGUNUAGCAUAUGCGCAAGUC
rnacentral:rRNA from 1 species